rnacentral:lncRNA from 1 species
CUGGGUGCUCCUCGGCAGUCUCAGCCAUGGUCACCACCGUGGGCUGCCCCUCGAUUUGCUCCUGGGUGGUCUGCGGCGCGGCGUCUUCGACGACAACCGCCAGCUCGGCCGUCUUCUGGCCAGCGACAUUGUCGGGAUCAACGUCAGAUGCCACACUAACAAAAAUACGACAUUUUACCAAUGUCAAAAGCCACAGUACCAACACAAAAAAAUAUAUAAAAAAUAAAAUAAUAAUAGGACGAAGCGUCAAAGCGGGAUUGUUCAACUUACAGAUCGGAGCGCCUGUGUGUCGUCGUAAAAACCC